rnacentral:rRNA from 1 species
UAGACUAUUAGACGUACCGGGUAGUCCGAGGGUAGUAAACGCUGCAGACUUGGUGUUGGAAGUCCUUUGGGGGCAUUCAGUGCCGGAGAGAAGUUGUUAAGUCUGCUACUUGGGAGUACGUCCGCAAGGAUGAAACUUAAAGGAAUUGGCGGGGGAGCACCGCAACGGGAGGAGCGUGCGGUUUAAUUGGAUUCAACACCGUAAACUCACCAGGGAAGACUGUUACAUGAAAGCCGAGAUGAAGACUCUGCUAGAUUUUCAG